rnacentral:tRNA from 1 species
GGCUGGUUGCCCGAGCGGCCAAAGGGAUCUGACUGUAAAUCAGACGGCUUCGCCUUCGGGGGUUCGAAUCCCUCACCAGCCAC